rnacentral:rRNA from 1 species
UACGUAGGGUGCAAGCGUUAAUCGGAAUUACUGGGCGUAAAGCGUGCGCAGGCGGUGAUGUAAGACAGAUGUGAAAUCCCCGGGCUUAACCUGGGAACCGCAUUUGUGACUGCAUAGCUGGAGUACGGCAGAGGGGGAUGGAAUUCCGCGUGUAGCAGUGAAAUGCGUAGAUAUGCGGAGGAACACCGAUGGCGAAGGCAAUCCCCUGGGCCUGCACUGACGCUCAUGCACGAAAGCGUGGGGAGCAAACAGG